rnacentral:rRNA from 1 species
GAUGAACGCUGGCGGCGUGCCUAACACAUGCAAGUCGAACGAAGCAAUUGAAGGAAGUUUUCGGAUGGAAUUUAAUUGACUGAGUGGCGGACGGGUGAGUAACGCGUGGAUAACCUGCCUCACACUGGGGGAUAACAGUUAGAAAUGACUGCUAAUACCGCAUAAGCGCACAGUGCCGCAUGGUACGGUGUGAAAAACUCCGGUGGUGUGAGAUGGAUCCGCGUCUGAUUAGCCAGUUGGCGGGGUAACGGCCCACCAAAGCGACGAUCAGUAGCCGACCUGAGAGGGUGACCGGCCACAUUGGGACUGAGACACGGCCCAAACUCCUACGGGAGGCAGCAGUGGGGAAUAUUGCACAAUGGGCGAAAGCCUGAUGCAGCGACGCCGCGUGAGUGAAGAAGUAUUUCGGUAUGUAAAGCUCUAUCAGCAGGGAAGAAAAUGACGGUACCUGACUAAGGAGCCCCGGCUAACUACGUGCCAGCAGCCGCGGUAAUACGUAGGGGGCAAGCGUUAUCCGGAUUUACUGGGUGUAAAGGGAGCGUAGACGGCGAAGCAAGUCUGAAGUGAAAACCCAGGGCUCAACCCUGGGACUGCUUUGGAAACUGUUUUGCUAGAGUGUCGGAGAGGUAAGUGGAAUUCCUAGUGUAGCGGUGAAAUGCGUAGAUAUUAGGAGGAACACCAGUGGCGAAGGCGGCUUACUGGACGAUAACUGACGUUGAGGCUCGAAAGCGUGGG